CGCCAUCCGGGCAGUUGAAUUUUGCGCGCGCCUCCUUCACAAUCGCCACCAUGGUUGUAAUUCCGGCAAGUCGGAGACGUUCUGGACAGGGGUUCGAUUCCCCUCACCUCCACCGAAACACAUCCGGUGCGCCCCGCGAGGGUGUAGAGGGUGUAUUUCGGUGGGGGUGUCCCGGUUUCGACAGGGCGGGCAAAGACAAGCAGGCAACCCGAGAGGCGACGGACGUAAUCCGCGCAAAUCCAUAAACGCCAACGAUGAGCGUUUCGCAGUCGCUGCCUAAGCUGACUGCCGGGGCCGCUGAAGCCUUGUAACCCAAGACAGCCGGUGGGGACUUCGGUCCCCACUGUCA
rnacentral:tmRNA from 1 species